CCUACGGGUGGCAGCAGUGAGGAAUAUUGGUCAAUGGACGGAAGGCUGAACCAGCCAAGCCGCGUGCAGGACGACGGCGCUAUGAGUUGUAAACUGCUUUUGUACGAGGAUAAACGCAGAUACGCGAAUCUGACUGAAAGUAUCUGACGAAUAAGCAUCGGCUAACUCCGUGCCAGCAGCCGCGGUAAUACGGAGGAUUCAAGCGUUAUCCGGAUUUAUUUGGUUUAAAGGGUGCGUAGGCGGUCUGUUAAGUUAGGGGUGAAAUCCCGAGGCUCAACUUCGGAAGUGCCUCUGAUACUGGUCGGCUAGAGAGUACUUGCGGUAUGCGGAAUGUAGGGUGUAGCGGUGAAAUGCUUAGAGAUCGUACAGAACACCGAUGGCGAAGGCAGCUUACC
rnacentral:rRNA from 1 species